GUGAAUCAUCGAAUUUUUGAACGCAAAUUGCACUUUCUGGUAUUCCGGAAAGGAUGCCUUUUUGAGGGUCAUGUAAUAAAAAUCAUUGUUAUUGCUAUUAAUGGUGAUGCAUCGGAAUUGAGUCGUCUUUACCUUUGGUUUUAAGUGACUUAAAAUUAUGUUCUAUUUUUUAACGUAUUUAAAUUAUGACUUACUUUCAUAAUAUCACAUAUUAGGUGCGGUCAUUCACAUGAUUUCGCUUCUAUAAGUUUUCAUUAUUUGACCUCAAACAGGUACGAGUACCCGCUUAACUUAGUCAUAU
rnacentral:misc_RNA from 1 species